GAGUCCAUUUGGAAAUGAGACACCCGGAUGCCCAGGGGACUUCUAAGCAGCGAAUCUGCCCCCCCAGCAACCGCAUGACUGAUGCCCUGAAACAUGCUUCUAGACUCUACUGACCUGUAACCUCCGCUGCAUUCUUGAAGUGAUUCUGCUCUCACCAGGUGAAAUUGGAGGAGUGCUGGGAAAAAGUAAGCACAAGAAACAGCGUGGUCUAGUGGCUAGAGCACAAGCCUGGGAACC